GCUCGCUGAGGAGCGGGAGCGCGCGCGGGCCACAAGACGCGCGCGGGAGGGGGCGGAACUUUUAUGGGCGGGACAUGUUGUUUGCGUCAUUGUGGGCGUGGUCAGGGACGGAGUACAGGAGUGAGCGAGCCACGUCCCUCAAUCCGCGUCUGCGGUGCUGCCUGCUACGUACCAGACGCUUCACCUCCAAACCGCUCUGAGGUUGGCUCCAGACGUCGCCUUGGAGGACUCAUCGGGAGACAGCAGGUGUCUAGUUUGGGGCAGCAAUUCUCUAGACAGUUCUGCAGCUCUCGGAUGGCAUAGUCCACUGCUAGUCCACGUGUCUCACAAAUUCACUCAGUGACUGUGAGCACCGACUCAGCUAGGAAUGAGGUUGGAGAGAGGAAAAAGGCGUCAAGGACCUGUCAGGCCAGUGCCAGAGAGAUGCAAACAGGCCUCUGUGGUCCUCUACGAAGGGCUUGGUUCUGGAGAGCAGAGGCAGGAGGAUCGCACUAGUUCAAGGUCAGCUUGGGGUACAUAGCAAGACCCGGUAAAAUAAAGAAUGGCAGGCAUAGAGGGCGCAGAACAUCCCCUGCCAAAUGAGAAGAAAAUGAGGCAGUAAAUUGUUUAAAUUACCAAGGACUUUGAAGAUCAUCAUUUUACAACUAAGGAAACUAAAUCUAGAGAAAUAGGUGAAAGAGCUUCCCUCCACCCCACUCAGGCUCUCCUUGAACUCACUAUGCAGCCCAGGCUGGCCUCAAACUGGCAGCCAUCCUCCUGCUCGGCCUCCGGAACACUGGGAUCACAGACAUGUACCGCCACCCCUGGCUGGUUACCUCCUCCUUGAGACUCACAACCAGAACCCGUGUUCUGACCUCCAGCCCAGUGCGUUUCCAUUCUGGUUCGUCCACACAAAAUGGAACCCGUGUACCAGGGACACUGCUAGGCCCAGUGGCAAAGAUGAGCAGGAGGUGCUCAUCUAGACCAUAGGCCUCCAAGCCAAAACUCAAAAAGAAGGAAAAAAAAAACCCUGUGGAGGCAGGCUUGCGGGAAGCUGGUCAGCAGCUAACUUUAAAUAUAUCCGUUCCUGUCAACAUGUUGUACACAUCCAUGGUACCACAGGCACCAAGGGGCUUUCGAGGUCUGGGUCUCCCUUCCUCAAUUGUCUGUCAGCCAUUCAGGUCCCUUCCUGCAAAACCACCAUUACCUGGUUCCAGAAACAGUUUAAGCAUGGCCAACUAUAUCCAUUUUUAAAACACCACUAUAAUAGAUACCCUGGAGGAGGAGCAGGAGGAUCUACAGCUCAGGGGCAGCCUAGGAAACUCAACAAAUUAACAAAAGAAAUUUAUUUUCAAAAAUAACAUUUAGGGUCUGGGGAUUUAGCUCAGCCGCAUAAGCGCCUACCUGGCAAGCAUGAGCUCAUGGGUUUGACCCCCAGUACCAAAAAAAUAAGUAAAUAAAAAUAAAAUUUAAAAAGGACUGAGGAGAGGAGAACUCAGUGACAGAGCCUCUCCCUAGAUGUGUGAAGCCCUGGGGUCAGUCACCGCCAAAUUUUAAAAAAUCAACUUCAUGAAUAUCUGUGCUUCUGUGUCUUACUCACAGUCUGCUCGGUUUUUCCGGGAAGUCCCCCAGGAACCACCUAGAAAGGAAGCAAUAAUCCUUGGCUGGGGUGCUCUGCUAUCCAGUCCCCUUUAGCAGGGCUGUACAUGACAUCAUUAUUUGUCCCUCUGCCACUUGUCCCCAUACCAGGGACCAAUAGGGACCUAGAAGAAGUUUUUUGCCAGGAUUAUUGGCCAUUACUGAAUAUUCCCAAUUCAGCUCUCAUCCCUAGGACCCUCAACUUCUUCCAUUUCGGGCUGUUUUUCCUUGACCACCCCAAGCAGAGAAUCAGACUGAUAUCUGAUACCACCUAUGUAAAACAAUACGGACCUCAUGCUUAAGGCAUCCUCACCAAUGAGUCAUCACGCCCGAUGAAUGAGUUGUUUUUGUUGGUUGAAAAGAAAACUCACGCUCUACAAAAAUAUGACCACAGCAGGGUCCACAUUCUCACCAACAGUGUUAAAAUGUUAUCUUUCCUUGCCACGCUGAAGAUCCAAGACAAAAUGGAUCAGGAGCCAAUCCAUGCUUUUUUAUACUUUUGUUUUUUUGUGGCGCUAGGGAUCAAAACAGGACCUCCUGUUUGCUGGGCAACCAUUCCACCACCACUUAAGCAGUAGCCUGCCCAUUUUAUUUAGAGACAAUUCUACAUUAACAUACAGUUGUAAGAAAUAAUGUAGUGACCUUCCUGUAUCCCUUAUCCAAGUCCCUCCAACGCUAACAUUUUAUAAAACUGCAGCACAAUAUUACGAUGAAGGUUCCGCUUUGCAGUUUAGGCUGGUCUUGAACUCACUUCGUAGCCCAAGCUGGCCCUGAACUCACAGUGAUACUCCUGCCUUGGUUUUCUGAGUGCUGGGAUUACAGGCCUGUGUCACCGUGCCGGGCCCAUGUUGCCCUCUUAGAGCCACCCCACCUUCAUCUCCAGCAGCAAAUAAUCUUCUGUAUAAUAUUGUCAUUUCAAGAUACUGUGUGCACGCAUGCGUGUACAUAUCUGGUAUAGUGGUACAUUCCUACAGUUCCAGCUGCUCAGAAGGACUAGGAAGGAUGACCAGUUGAGUCAGGAAUUUGAGGGCAGCGUGGGCAACAAGAUGAGCUCAGGUCUUUUACAGAGGAAAAUGAACGUGAAAUCCUGUAGCAGGUAACCUCCUGAGAUUAGGCUUUUUUUUUUUUCCCCUUCAGCGUUACAGACUGAAACCAACACCUCCUGCAUAUUAAGCAAAUACCCUAACACUGAGCUACACCCCCUGCCCAGGGAUUUGAUUACUUUUUAAUCAGCACAAUCCUCGGAAGUUUCAUCUCAGUAGUUAAGCAUAUCAGUGUUCUCUUCAGUGCUGAGUCACAUUCUGUGGUACUGGAUGUACUAAGUUCGCCCAUUUAUUAACCGGUUGGAGGACUUCUGGGUUGUUUCCAGCGUUUUAUGAUAAAUAAAGCUUGCUUUGCUGGGGGUUUAGCUCAGCAGCAUCAGUGCCUGCUUGGCAAGCACAAGGUUCUGAGUUCGAUCCCCGGUACCAAAAAAAGAAAAGGAAAAUUAAAGAUGAUUAUUUAUUAAAAAAAAAAUAAAAAAUAAAGCUUGCUUUAAGUAUUUGUUUUCAGGUAUUUGUGCAAACAUAAGUAUUCGUUUUGUCAGGAUAAGUGCCCAGGAGUGCAAUAACCGGGUUGUCUGGUGGCUGAGUGUUUAUUUAAAAUCUGCCCGGCUAUAGCCAGUAACUGUCACUCCCACAAGCAGUACGAGUACAGUUGUUUGUGUAAUUUCAGCAGCUACUGCUACCACUGAGUGUAGUGUAGCCAUUCUGAUAGGGGCUCGUCGGGGUUUGCGUUCUUAACUUUGUUUUGGUUGGGUUGGGUUGGGUUUGAUUUUUUGAAACAGGGUCUCACCAUGUAGGUCAGGCUGGCAAUAAACUCACUGUGUAGCCCAGGCUGGGCUCAAGGAUUGCUUAAUCCUCCUGUCUCAGCCUCCCGAGUGCUGGGAUUACAGGCGUGAGCCACAGUGCCCGGCUCUCAACCUUCAUGAUUUCUGAUAAGAAACCUGCUGUCCUUCAGCCUGCUUUCCCCAAUAGAUAAGGUGGUCUUUCUUUGUGGCUGCUUGGUUGCUUAUGUGUGCAUGUACGUUUGUAUGCAAGUAUGUACAUGUAACUAUAGUUUCCAGAAGUUUGACUAGGAAGUGAGAAUUUCUUUUGCGUUUAUCCUUAUUGAAGAACCCAGGGCCUUCUCACCGAGCUACAUCCCCAGCCCUUUUUAAAGUUUCAUUUACCACAAGGUCUCACUGUGUCCUUAAACUGCCCAGGCUGGGUUUGAAUGUGCAGUGUCCUUGCCUGCAGCCUGCUGGGGUUACUGUGCACUGCUGUACCAGCUUCAGCUUCUGGACUGUGUAGAUUUCUGUCUCUGGUAACUUGGGAACGUUGUUCUGGGUCCAGCUCUAACCAGUUCCUUUUGUUAUGCUUUCAGACCGGCCUUGAAAUGUGUUUUUGUUUGUUUGUUUCUUUUUUUAUCGGUACCGGGGAUCGAACUCACGACCACCUGCUUGCAAGGCAGGUACUUAUGCAGCUGAACUAAAUCUCAGCCCCUAAUUUUUGUUUUUAAUUAUCUGUCUUUUUCAGUUUCCACAAUUCACAGUGGAUUUUCAAGUUUUUCCACUUACAUUCUAAAACUUUUUUUCUUUGCUUGACACACUGGGGAUUCGCAUAGAACUGCGUCCCCAGCCCUGUUUUCCGUUUUUUUUUUUUUUUGUUGUUUGUUUGUUUGUUGUUGUUGUUGUUUUGUUUUUUGUCUUUUUCGUUUUUAUCCGCACCAGGGAUCGAACUCACGACUGCCUGCUUGCAAGGCAGGCGCUUAUGCCGCUGAGCUAAAUCUCCAACCCCCCUGUUUUCGUUUUUCAUUUGAUACAGUUUCUUACUAAGUCACUUAACUGACCAGGUUGGGCUCCAACUUUCCAUCCUUCUGCCUCAGCCUCCCAGAGAGCUGGGAUUAUAGGUGUGCACUACCACAUGUGACUCUGCGGAGGUCUGUUUGCUUCCACUAUGUUCAUAAUUGAGCAUUUUCACAAUGGCUUUGUGCUGAUAUCUUUUUUUUUUUUUUUACAUGAAGAUCUUGCUAACUCCUGGUGUGACAAUGAUGUUGAGGUGAAAUCUGGGAGUUCUUGCACCCUGUUCUGACACCUGGCUCUUCUUUAAACUCUGGGUUUUGUGGACGCUUUCUCACACUGGUCAGGCAGAAGGUGCGGACCUCUUGUUCCUCCUGCUAGGGAAACAGGCAAAAUCCCAGAUCACUCUGCCUCCUUAGACACCCAGGCUAGGGUUUCCUCGUUGCUGCAGGGGACAGGGAGGAGUUCUGGCUCCCAGUCAGACUUUCAGGAAUAGACCCCGGCCGGAAAGGGCAGUGUGCUUCGUUACUGCCCCCACGCCACCCCCGGGGGCCUUCACUGGCAUGGGUUCCUGGGCAGCGAUGGAAGCCCUGACAAUACCUCCUCUGUUGGUACCGUGGUCAGGAGGUGGCCGUGCCUGCGUCCUGGAAGGGAAGGAUAAUCUCAGCUCCUUGAAUGAGCUUCUCUAAUCCCGGAUCAGGCAGGAUUUGGGGCACUUCUGACAGCGCCAGUGAGGCGGAAAUCAAACCUCCCCGCUCAGCCUUCGCUGGUCUGAGUUGCACAGCACUUCUGGUCUGAGUUCUCUUGCUAACAACGCAGCUUCCCUGGUCCUCUGGUCGUGCCGACCGGGCUUUUCUGGCGCAUGCGCUUUGUCUCUGCCCACCAGUAUGUUUUGGAUGGCAGCUGCUUCAGUUCCAAGUUAGGGCUAGCAGGCCGCCCACACCCACCCUGAGAACCCACCACGUCGUCCUUAGGGCCUGAGUUCCUAACAGCCUCCUGAGUGCUGGGAUUACAGGCAUGUGCCACCAUGCCCAGCAUCUGUGACCAGCCCCGAGACACAGAAGCAACUGGACCUGAGACAGGAACUGCCACCUGGGCUAUUGAAGUAGACUGGCUGGGUGGGUCUUAUCUGCCACAAUAUGAAAUCAUCACUGCCGUCAAGAGGCCUGAGCAGAUGAAAAAGGGGAAAUGAAGCAUUUAAAUAUAAAGAAUCCCAACAUCUGGCGUCCAAACAGGGACUCAACAGCAGAGACGUCUGCUGUGGAGUGUGACUUGCCUUCGCUGUGUUCCCGGGGUAGGACAUGGCCCCCACGAUGUGUCGACUUCAUUUGCUUUGAAAAAUCCCCGGGCCCUUCAGGCACAGCUCACACACGCACCACAGUGACGGUGGAUCCAGUGCCCGCUCUUCCCACUCAUCUUUCACCCAGCCCCUCUGCCCACAGCGGCUCUUGGUGCCAUCCAGAGCGACAAGAUACUUAUUAUCAAACGGUUACAUUUUCCCCGCUCGCCUGGUGGUACUGUAUUUCCCAUUAUCAAUGCUAAUUCAUGUCUUAUCUCUCCAGGAUGUACUCACAUACACACAUUCCCUCGAAUUUAUCGCACUAAAACUGUUUUACCACUUAGCAAAACUGACUUCUCCCUUUUGCUGUCCCCUACUGUUUCUCUUUAAGUCUCUUUGGCUAUGUUGGUUCCAUUUCUUUCAAAACGCCCCCAGUCCCAGGCUGGCAGGGCCCGGGCGCCCCUGCUGACCUGGGGAGGAGGAGAUGCUUCUGUGUUAUCCCCACAGGGUUCCUGCUUGUUGCAUUCACCAUGCACAAAACAAGUUGACACCACGGGCUACACAACGCAGUUCCACAGUUUCGCCUCUCCCUAAACCAAGCCUGGCCUCCUUAAAAGCGACCCAAGACAACUGCUUGCCAGUGACGUGGGUGACAUAGAUACAUCUAAAGAAAAAUCCACUGCUCAUCAGCUUCUUGAGGCGGUAUUUACCAAAUUGACAAUAAACUCUUUAAUGCCUGUU